UAGGUCUCAUUAAACUUGACUUAACAUAGUCAUAACAAUUAUGUCUAACCUAGUGGCAUGGGUUAGCUCAAAUUGUUAGUCACCUCAAAUCAGAACUGGAUCGACAUAUAUGGCCAGGUAAGUGAGAUCGGUGGAAGGGAUAUGCCAUUAACUUGACAAGAAUGCAUUCGAGUCGAGUAGCUCCCAAUUACAAACCAGUCGGUCGCAUCUGCCCAACUUACCUUAGACAC
rnacentral:lncRNA from 1 species